rnacentral:rRNA from 1 species
CGCGUAGGUGGGAUAGCAAGUCUGAGGUGCAAUCUUACGGCUUAACUGUAAGCUUGCCUUGGAUACUACUAUUCUUGAGUUCGGGAGAGGGUAGUGGAAUUCCUGGUGUAGCGGUGAAAUGCGUAGAUAUCAGGAAGAACACCGGUGGCGAAGGCGGCUACCUGGCCCGAUACUGACACUGAGGCGCGAAAGUGCGGGGAGCAAACA